rnacentral:misc_RNA from 1 species
CGUGGGACUUGUAUGGAAGUUGAUUUCAAGACUAGAAAAUAGUGACCAGAAGAAAGGUCAACCAGAUAACAAUCUUGGGCAUCUUGAUUUUUUCUUUCUUUUUACAGUGUUUGUCCACUCAGCGAGAUUUAUAUACAGAGGAAAAACCAAAGCUACAAUAACCCUUUUAUCUUCAAAAUUAUUGUACAUCCUACUCAUUAGAGAAUUAGAUUAGCUACUACAAAAUAGAAGAAAAGCCCUGGAUCAUUUUCAACCCCUGCACAAACUGCCUCUGAGAAAUUUCAUUCUGAUUUCCCGUCCCAUCCCCAGGACUGUUUAAGUUUCUUCAGCAACAAAAUUGUCAAUCCUAGAAAUGGCCAUGCCAUAGAGAAUAAAAUAUACCUUCCAAGUAUUUUGAAGAUCUAUGCUACCAGCAGAAAAGAAUUUGGUCACGUUGCCCCUGAAGUUGCAGUAACUCCACUUCCAUCUCUCAACCCCUGGAGGCAUAAAUUUAGUGUUCUUUGCACACUAUCUGCAACCAUUCUCAACCUUCCUUGGGUAAAAUCAGCGGAACAUCCAUUUAUUUCCACAGUUCGAAUCACCUCCUGUUUACAUUUUUCCCAAUCAUCAACACGCAGCCAGCAAGCUUGGCCUCCAUGGCUUCCUUCCAUGCCAAGGAAUGUUACGUUAGUGUUUUCACCAAAUGAAUAUCUCAACCUCACUGAGACACAAUAGGGCAACCAAGCAGCACC